AGCCUGAUCCAGCAACGCCGCGUGAGGGAUGACGGCCUUCGGGUUGUAAACCUCUUUCAGCACAGACGAAGCGCAAGUGACGGUAUGUGCAGAAGAAGGACCGGCCAACUACGUGCCAGCAGCCGCGGUAAUACGUAGGGUCCGAGCGUUGUCCGGAAUUAUUGGGCGUAAAGGGCUCGUAGGCGGUCUGUCGCGUCGGGAGUGAAAACCAGGUGCUUAACACCUGGCCUGCUUUCGAUACGGGCAGACUAGAGGUACUCAGGGGAGAAUGGAAUUCCUGGUGUAGCGGUGAAAUGCGCAGAUAUCAGGAGGAACACCGGUGGCGAAGGCGGUUCUCUGGGAGUAUCCUGACGCUGAGGAGCGAAAGUGUGGGGAGCGAACAGGAUUAGAUACCCUGGUAGUCCACACCGUAAACGUUGGGCGCUAGGUGUGGGAUCCAUUCCACGGGUUCCGUGCCGCAGCUAACGCAUUAAGCGCCCCGCCUGGGGAGUACGGCCGCAAGGCUAAAACUCAA
rnacentral:rRNA from 1 species